GUGGGGAAUCUUCCGCAAUGGACGAAAGUCUGACGGAGCGACGCCGCGUGAGUGAAGAAGGCCUUCGGGUCGUAAAGCUCUGUCAUCAGGGACGAACGGCCGGUGGAGUGGAAAGCCACCGGAUUGACGGUACCUGAGAAGGAAGCCACGGCUAACUACGUGCCAGCAGCCGCGGUAAUACGUAGGUGGCAAGCGUUGUCCGGAAUUAUUGGGCGUAAAGCGCGCGCAGGUGGGAUCUUAAGUCCAUUUUGAAAGUUCGGAGCUCAACUCCGUGAUGGGAUGGAAACUGGGAUUCUUGAGUACCGGAGAGGAAAGCGGAAUUCCCCGUGUAGCGGUGAAAUGCGUAGAUAUGGGGAGGAACACCAGUGGCGAAGGCGGCUUUCUGGACGGUGUCUGACACUGAGGCGCGAAAGCUAGGUGAGCGAACGGGAUUAGAAACCCCUGUAGUCC
rnacentral:rRNA from 1 species